GAUGAACGCUGGCGGCGUGCUUAAUACAUGCAAGUCGAACGGAAAGGCCCUGAUCUUGUGGGGUGCUUGUGUGGCGAACGGGUGAGUAACACGCGUGUAACCUGCCCUUGUCUUUGGGAUAACUUCAGGAAACUCGGGCUAAUACCGGAUAGGAGCUCCUGCUGCACGGUGGGGGUUGGAAAGUUUCGGCGGUUGGGGCUGGACUCGCGGGUUAUCAGCUGGUUGGUGGGGUAGUUGCUUACCAAGGCUUAGACGGGUAGCCGGCCUGAGAGGGUGACCGGCCACAUUGGGACUGAGAUACGGACCAGACGCCUACGGGAGGCAGCAGUCGGGAAUAUGGCGCAAUGGGCGGAAGCCUGAUGCAGCAACGCCGCGUGCGGGAUGACGGCCUACGGGGUGUAAACCGCUUUCGCCUGUAACGAAGCGAGAGUGACGGUAAUGGGUAAGGAAGCACCGGCUAACUACGUG
rnacentral:rRNA from 1 species